GUCCAAAUCCAUUUACCUGCAAUUGUGUUCAUCUAUAUGAAUAGUUAUGUUUCUGCAAGGCAUGAUGUCUGAUGCAAAACAGAAGAUCUGCUGCAUCUAAAAUGAAAGAUCAGGACCUUAGUGUGACUGCAGUAUGCAUUGCCUGAAUUUUCCUUUCCCUCUCCUUGGAUAAAUAAGAGUGCUUCUAGUCUAGGUUACCAUAGUUUCUGGUUUCCUUAGUAACCACCUCGAGAGCAUUCAUGUGUUUGUGUCAGUAGAAAAGGGGGUGGGGGGGCUAUAAAGUAAAAAAAAACCUCUCAAACUUGGCAUGAAAAAAAAAUCCAGUUUUUUUCCUUAAUGAACAAUCAAACCAAACCUGAAACAAAUGAAGUCUCACUGGAGAUGAACUGAAAUAAUUAUGAAUGGGAUCCUCUUCUCAGAAGUGAUUUGAGAAGAAAUUGAAGUUUUCAUAGACAGUGCAUGAAAGGAGCAUUAGCAUGGCCUUAUUCCAUACACAACAGAUUACACAUAUAUCUCUAAUAAGCAAUCAGGAAAGCCUCAGUGUACUUUCAAGAACUCAUGGAGACUGACCUAAUGCAACCUCCAUCCCCUCAGCCAGCCUUCUCCAUCUGCACUAUAUAAUAUACUCUUCAGUCACAAACUACUUGAAAACAGAUGACUUCAAGCUCUCGAUUUAAAUAAAAUAAAAUAAAAUAAAAUAAAAUAAAAUAAA
rnacentral:lncRNA from 1 species